GGUUUCAUAGUGUAGUGGUUAUCACGUCUGCUUUACACGCAGAAGGUCCUGGGUUCAAUCCCCAGUGGAACCA
rnacentral:tRNA from 1 species